GCCCCCGUAGCUCAGCUGGAUAGAGCAUCCCCCUCCUAAGGGGAAGGUCGUGCGUUCGAAUCGCGCUGGGGGCACCA
rnacentral:tRNA from 1 species